rnacentral:pre_miRNA from 1 species
AUCGCCUGGGAAUCUUGUUAAAACGCAGCUUCUGGUUCAGUAGGUCUGGGAGUCUGCAUUCCUAACAAGCUCCCAGGUGAUGCUGA